GAAUUCGCCAAGCGUUGGAUUGUUCACCCACCAAUAGGGAACGUGAGCUGGGUUUAGACCGUCGUGAGACAGGUUAGUUUUACCCUACUAAAUACUUGUUGCUAUGAUGGUAAUCCUGCUUAGUACGAGAGGAACCGCAGGUUCAGACAUUUGGUUCAUGUGCUUGGUCGAUAGGCCAAUGGCGCGAAGCUACCAUCUGAGGGAUUAUGACUGAACGCCUCUAAGUCAGAAUCCCGCCCAGUCAUGAUAGCAAUAUAUAUCGCUCUCCGGUGUCGGAAGGCAAAAUGUAUGCCAUUUUUUGUGGUAGUACAAGCCCCAGUAUCUGGCAUUUUCUUUCUACAAUAAUUGGUAGUUGGUUGCUAAAAGCUU
rnacentral:rRNA from 1 species